AGAGCGCGGAGAGGGACCAGGCAGGCGCCGGAGGGGACCCGCGCGGAAAAGGAAGAAGCCCAAACAAAAACGCUGUCCGGCGCCAGGCGCCCACCUGCAAGCCCAAGCCGGUGCUCGGCCAGUUACAAAAGAAAUGGUCAGGAUCUGGACAACGAUAAUGAUAGUAUUAAUCCUCCUAUUAAGAAUCGGCCCAAACAAACCCUCGCUGUCAGGGCGACAGGCGCCCGCCCAAGCCCAGACCUCGGACCUGGUUCCAAGCCUGUUCCCGCUGGGUCUCUGGGCGCCCGGUUUCUGCACCUGGAGCUCGCCCGAUGAGGACAAGGUCUGGAGGCCGGCCUGGGAACAGGGGCCGAAGGGCGAGCCGGACCCUAGGGGAUUGAGGCCGAGGAAGCCGGUUCCGGGGACGGGCAACAGGGACUCAGGGACCAGAAGGCGGCUGCAGGACGCGACCGAGCAGGACCCCAGGCCCGGGAACGACGUCGCGAGCGCUGAGACUGCCGGGCCUCCCAGCCCAUCUGGCAUUCGAGCGCAGGACCGGGCGCCCCGGCACCGCCGCGCGCCACCCGCUAGGAUGCCGGUGGCCCCAGCGCCCUCAGCCGACGGAGAGCCGCUGCAGGAACAGGGAGGAGGCCUUUUCCACCGCACCCGGAGCGUUUACAACGGGCUGGAGCUGAAUACCUGGAUGAAAGUGGAGAGGCUGUUCGUGGAGAAGUUCCAUCAGUCGUUUUCCUUGGACAAUUAACAAGUUAGGCUUCCACAGUGCCAGGGCCUGGGGAUGCUGGACGUGGGAGAGGGUUGUGGUCGUUAGCCUGGGAAAAUCAUUCUUUUAAACAAUAUUCGCCGGAAAAUUAGUUUUUUCCUAACAUUUCUCAAACAAGGCAAUUAGGGCCGUCAGAAUCGGUGCUGGAAGACGAAGUCCCCACAGUGCAAUAAUGAGGUUCCCACGGAAAAUCAGUACGUUGUGUUCGUAACUGAGAUAACAGCUAGAGAAGGGGCUUUGGGCUUUUUGAGUCUCCCAAUAGUCAGUCUCUCUCUCUCUCUCUCUCUCUCUCUUCCUCUGACUUUCUGGCUUUGGACACUCCCAAUGGUAUAUUUCUUUGUGGUGUUUUUAUAUUUGGAUAUAAGAGAGGAACUUCUUGUUGGAUUUUUAAGGGAACACACUUCGUUUUGACCCUUCCAAUAAGGAAAGGGGAGCUACAGGAACAGAGAGCUCUUUAGAAGGUUACUUUUAAAUGGAGGCCCCCCCAUUCAUGGUACCCACUCCCACUUGGACCUCUGAGACCUCCAGAAUUAGGCAUCAUUCUAAAAUCUGGACAUUAGAAGUCACAGACUUUGUAUAUAACCACAUAUUCAUAAUUUAUCUUUUCAAUGUUUUUUAUUCAUAGAUGAAAAUCUUGCAGGCAUAGUUAAGAAAAAUAUAAUUCCUAGAAAGUACAAGGGAAGGAUUAUGCUCUGCAGAUACAUGACUAACAAGGAUAGCUGGCCAUGCCCAGGGCUGGUGUUGGUUGAGGAGGUGGUGAUGGUGCGGGGCAUGUGUGUGUGUGUGUGUGUGUGCGCUUGAGGAGUUGUGGAAGUGUUCAUAUCUGUAAAGUAUUAUUUCAUGGAUGCAGACCUUAAUGCUAGGUUGAAUAACUUUGUUGCCAUAGAAGAAGAACCGCACGUCAGGCUUUUUUCAUUAGCAAACCAGUAAGCACUCACUUUGGGCCUCUGAAAUCACUUCCAUCACCUAACACCAGAGAUACAAACUGAAGCUAGCCCUUAAGAGCCUCCCCCUAAGAUUUAGAGAGAAUGAUUUCUCAACCAGUUUUCAUCUUUGAAAGUGCCAUUUCUCCCUUUAUCAUUGUGAUUUUUAUUCAAAUGCAUGAGUCUCUGAUUUUCUACCAUAUACAAAGGGUAGAGACUACAGUUUCCUAUAGAAGAAACUUCACAUAGUGGCCGAAGGAUCUUAUUUCUCAAAAUUCAGGAACUGGUUUCCUCUUUCUGGAAAUUAUGACAUUAACUUGAUUUCAUGGUAUCUCUUUCAUCUUCCUCAAUGCCUGUGCUGUAUGUAUAUUUUUAUUAUAUACUGUAGGUAUAUUUUUAUUACCAAAAAAAGGAGAAUUUGAGCAUGCCACAAUCUUGAAAAAUCUGAGGUUGCCCUGCUGUAGAACCCUUUAACUGCCAGGACUUUGUACUGUUUCCCAAGUGUUACCAGAGCCAGGCCGCCAGCCUUAUGCAGUCUGUUUACCUUAGCUGGAACCAGGGUGCUGUGCUGUGGGUUCUAUGAAACUUUCUGUUUCUUCAUAUUUGGCUUUGUAAUUCCUUUCUUAUCAGUUUUGGAGGCAUUUCCUAUUAUUCCUCUGCCAUAUGUUUUCUGCCAAAUUAAUUGCCUUAAGAUUUUCCUUAAGCUUUUGGAAAUGUAUAAUGUUUGAGAAAAAAGAAAAAGAAUAGACUGAGUGGAAUCGUAUCUAGUUUCAGUUAAUAACAUGUUUCAGUUGAUGUUACUGUUAUAGCUACUGGGCAUAAAGUCUCCUUCCCUUUUUUGAAUCCUAUUUUUGAGGCAUUGAAGCUGUGUCUGUAAGAGACAAUAGGCCAGUUGGGUUAAAUCAGUGACGAGAUUGUCCAGUGCAGAUUGGUGCCCAGUGAGUGGAUCUUCACUGCUCACAGGCCGGACUGGGGUCAGCUCACACAGCGAGGUGACGGUCCGCUCCUCAAGCAGUGGAUGGUGCUCUUCGGCCUUGCAGAUGCCGCUCCAUUUUCCUGGCUUCAAAAUUUUCCAGAUAUUUCAGUGCCCCCAGAAUGACAUGCUAACAUUCUGCUGGCAUGGGAGCAUGAGGCAGUUUGUCUCUAAAACAUGCCAGAGAAUCUCUUGUCACUACCUAGGCAAAGAACCAGUGGCAAGGUGGCAGCCUCCCAAAGAGCUCAUCCCUAAUGUGACAUCCUGGAAUCAGAUGGCACGGACACCGGCCCAGCCCCUUCCCAGCUCUGUGACUAAGGACAAGUGACACCCCCCCUCCCCCAGCCUCGGUCUCCUCCUGUGUACAUUCAGAAGGCAGAUGCUGCCAUGAGGCCAUGUGUGCUAUGUCCAUGGUGCAAGGUGGCACGCAUGCCGAGUCACCAGGUGAGACUGCCGCUUUGGGAAGGGAUAGGAAGGAUCUCCGGUAGCCUUCGUGGGCAGGAUGCCUCUUAUUUGAAUGUGCCUUUAGCCACCUCACAGAGCCUAUUUCCACAUCCCUGUGGAUUCAUCCCUGUGGAAAUCUUGAGAAUCAUUUAUCCUAUGCUGUCAUGAAGCAGCAGCAGAAUGGAGAAGGUUUAAAAAGACUCAUGGACAGGCAAAGCGGUCAAACACCUCCUGGCUCAGACGCACUUGCCUUCCCACACACAAGUCUGGAAGCUCAGGAUGGUGUUCACGGAGGCAGAUGCUCGGGGCCGGGGCCUGAGUUUCCUGGGGCACAGCCUCCAUAUCUGGGGUUCCCUGGACUAUGCCCAGAUAGCUCAUAAUGUCCCAGCCUUAUUUGUGAUGGAGAAGGACUUGGGGAAAAGCCACCGGGAAGCAGUAAGUCUAACCAGGGAAGUGCACUGACUUGCAUGCUUUGAAGAAGAGAAGGGAGAAAAGAUACAAAACCCUCACCUGGUUUGUCUGUAACAGUUGUUAUUUCUCAGGGGAGCUGCAUUAAUGGGCCAAGCCUGUGCAGCUGGGUGUGUGAAGCAUGCAUUUUGCAAUGGACUGUCUCCAAAAGCAGAGCGAGGUCACCCAAGAAAUCUAGAGCAAGGGAAAAUACUCAUUAGCAAAGGAAUUUUGCUGGAGCCUUGUAACGGCCGACUCAUUAUUUCCUUUCCAAGUUAUUUUAAAUGAAAUUUUAAAAAACAUCUUGCUUUCCAAGAAAUUUUGCUUGUUGGCAUAUGUUUGGUGUUUUGAUUCAGUUUGGAGGAUGAACUAGUUAAUUUCCCUGGGAGUACAUGCCUAUUAAAAAUAUAGCAUCCUGCAUCUGACCAAGAUGCUAUCUUACUAUCUUAUUGUGCCUAUCUUUUAUGCGGAGAGAGAAAGGGGGGUGUUGGGAAGGAGACCAGACUGUGGAAACAUUUUCUUUAUUUUUUCUCUUUUUCUUCCUUUUAUAGUUUGUUUAUUUUUCAACUUGACAUGGGUAGAGAAAGCGAAUCGCUAGUAUAGAAAGCACAUCUGGAAUCCAUCCGGCCUCCUCUCUCUGGCUCACCCUCCUCCCAGCAAUGUUUCUCCUUGGAAGUUGGGGGAAGGUAGGCACCUCUGACCUUGGCAGGGUCUAACUUGGGGUCAUCCACUGCAUACUCAUCUUCCAGAAGGCGUCUUAUUCCUCCUCGACAAAAAAAAAAUGUGUUGGUAUUAAAAUGCUUUGAGGUAGGCUGGAUGAACCCAGCUUAGUGAGGAUGACAUGAAAACCCUUAGCUAAUGGGGUCUUUAUUGAGUAGAACUCAGGUAAGUUCAGAUGUAAGCAGUGUCUCUCAGUAAACAUGAAAAGACUGAAGAUGCAGACAAUCAAAUACUUAAGUCUCUUGAAGAGCUGGGUGGUGGGCGGGGGUCUUCCCAGGUGGUCAGGGAGAUGUGUUAGUGUAGCACUUGGAAGAGAGUGGAACGACCAGGCAAGGAUGUGCCGUGGAGGUGGGCAGUGGGAGCAGCCCAGUGUCAGCAUCUGUAUUGGUUAGAAGACCACCGCUAAUGAGGAGGAGCGUCUCUACCCUGCAGCUGUCUGUACUCCUGUGUCUUCCGUAAUGUGCCAAGCUCUCUGAAUAUAUGCAAAACUAGUCUGCAAAAAGCCAUAUGUCUCAGCAUCUGGCUUUAUUUCUAAGUGUUCAGGUGGAAUUUAAGCCGCGAUCAAAUUUACAAUGUCACUGCCAGCUCUGGACACUUACUUUUGGAAUAAAGCAAAGAGUGAACACUAA